UGGGCAAUCUGCCCUUCUCAUCGGAAUAAGCGUUGGAAACGACGUCUAAUGCCGAAUACGACCUCCUUUCGCAUGAUCGGAGGUGGAAAGCUCCGGCGGAGAAGGAUGAGCUCGCGGCCUAUCAGCUAGUUGGUGUGGGUAAUGGCCCACAAGGCGACGACGGGUAGCCGGCCUGAGAGGGCGACCGGCCACACUGGGACUGAGACACGGCCCAGACUCCGUACGGGAGGNAGCG
rnacentral:rRNA from 1 species